AAAAAUUCGGUGCUAAAAGAGUAAAUCAACAAAAAGUAGUAAAAAUGGAAAACGGCAACAGUAGAAGGGUGACAAAGGAGCAAAAAUAUAUGCUUGUUCAAUACUUGGAAGAACACAGGGAAUUUGCUCAUGACAGAUUCGUGAAUGACACCGGGUGCAAAAGUUUGCUGGAGCAGUGGAACCAUCUUGCCCAGAAACUAAACGCUCGUGGAGGAGCCAUUAAAGACGGUGAAG